rnacentral:tRNA from 1 species
GCGGUAUCGUAUAAUGGCUAUUACCUCAGCCUUCCAAGCUGAUGAUGCGGGUUCGAUUCCCGCUACCCGCUCCA